rnacentral:rRNA from 1 species
UGAAUGACUCCUGGCAAUGGAUAUCUUGGCUCUCGUGUCGAUGAAGAACGUAGCGAAAUGUGACACUUGGUGUGAAUUGCAGAAUCCCGUGAAUCAUCGAGUCUUUGAAUGCAAGUUGCGCACGAGGCCAUUAGGUCGAGUGCACGUCUGUUUGGGCGUUAUGU